rnacentral:rRNA from 1 species
GAUGAACGCUGGCGGCGUGCCUAAUACAUGCAAGUCGAGCGAACAGAUGCGGAUCUUGCUCCUCUGACGUUAGCCGCGGACGGGUGAGUAACACGUGGAUAACCUACCUAUAAUACUGGGAUAACUUCGGGAAACCGGAGCUUAUACCGGAUAAUAUAUUGCUCCGCGUGGUUCAAUAGUGAAAUACGGCUUUUCUGUCACUUCUAGCUGGCUCCCCGCCGCAUUAGCUAGUUGUUAAGGUCACGGCUUACGAAGGGAACGAGGCGUAGACGACCUGAGAGGGUGAUAGGCCACACGGGAAGGUGGACACGGUCAAUGCGCCUACGGGAGGCAGCAGUCGGGAAUCGUCCGCAGUGGGCGAAAGCAUUACGGAGCAGCGCCGCGUGAGAGAUAACGGUCUUCGGAGCGUAAAGCUCUGUUAUUAGUGAAGAACAAAUGUGGAAGGAACUAUGCACGGCGUGACGGUAACGAAUCAGAAAGCAACGGCUAACUACGUG